GAAGACCUGGCUGAAGUGUCUGAGCUCCGGGAAAUCUCAGACAAGCAGUCAAGCGAGCAGAGCCAGAUGAAGGGGCUGGGCGCCUGGCAGCCCCUCUGUACUCACGUGACAGAGCGGGAGGAACGUCUGUACACAGCCAGAAAAGACCUCAUCGUAUCUGAGGAAGUGAACACGAAAUUGCAACGAGAUGUUUGUGAAGUGGUAUGUCAGAGACAUAAAACUAAUCUCAAGAUGCCUUGGGCCUCAGCAAAUUGGGAGGACAGGCUGAAAACAAGGAUACGCUUCCAAAAAAAGAGCAGACAGUGCAUCCAGAUGGGGCCUCUCAACAAUCCCUGCUGCCCAACAGCACUGACACCCCGUCUCCAGUCCAUGGGUGUGAAGCCCUGCCCAGGACUAGGCCCAGCGGAGCCUCUUCACAAGUUCCAGGUCACUGGGUCAUGGGGAGACGGGAUCUAAGUGGAGACGACAGGCCCUGAGGGAAGGACCCGGGGCUUCUUCCUCAGGAAACGUGAGUCUUUAGAGGUCUAUCCUGAGAGUUGGAAACAGGCUGUUUAAUGCUUAGAAUCAACACACCCGCUUCCUGAGUCACCACCACACACACAGGGAAGACCUCAGCAUGUGGAACAGACAGUCCCCGGCUGCCCACUGUCCCAGGAGGGGCUCAGGACAGUAAACUCCCACACAGAGUCCAACAACCCUAAAGCCAGCCACCAUCGCUCCCGACCGCUGCUGCACAAUCCCCAGAGCACAGCUGCCUGCACGUCGUGGAGCUGGCGUACUCGAGCAGACCAGAUGGAACAGACGGCUCCUGGCUGAGGCAGGUACGGAACUGUUCACAGUUAGAAGCAGGUAGUUGACGUGCUGGGUAUGUGGUGGUAAUCCUUGAAAGGAUUGCUGAAGCAAAAGCCCUGCCCCCAGGGAGCUCAGCUCAGAAGGCAGAAAUCAUUACUCAGACAAGAGCCCUACUACUCCCUGAAGGCAAGCGAGUAAAUAUAUACACAGACUCUCGCUAUGCAUUCUCCGUGGUGCAUGCUCACGGCGCGAUCUGGAAUGAAAGGGGGGGGGCUCCUCACUUCAAACAAUAAAGACAUAAAACAUGCUUCUGAAAUCUUGUCACUAUUAGAAGCAGUCCACAAGCCCUCACAAGUGGCCCUAACGCACUGCCCAGGCCACCAGAUGGGUGAGACUCAUAUAACAAAAGGCAACCGGUUAGCUGACCAGGCUGCAAAGAAAGUAGCAAAGGCAGGCGAUUACCAAGCCAUCUCAGGGUCACUUCUCCCGCAGAAUGACUUGUCAAAAUACCAGCCGGAAUAUUCAGGAAAGGACAAGGAGAGGGCCGAAGAGUGGGGAUUCACUCUUGAUCGCACCUCGCCUGGCUAGAAAUGUAGUGCACAUGGAACUGACUUGAUUUCUGAGGCACUCGUGGACACCGUGCUGCAGCACAUUCGUAACAGUACCCACCACGGGAGAGAUGCCACCUUACGAUGGAUUCAGAAAUAUAUAAUGGGGCCUAACCUACAACGGGCCAUCCAGGGAGUCACUCAAAAUUCCAUGAUUUGUGCUGAAAAUAACCCAAAUACUGCUGUCAGAUCUCCCCAGAUGGGGACCCAACACAGAGGACUCCACGAGCCACCAAGGACUGGCAAACAGACUUUACUCAAGUUGAUAGGGACAGAGUAAAGGGACAAAGUAGGCGAUUGAAAUAGUUAAUCCCACUAGGGGACUGCAAGUAAAGAAAAAAGCAUGGGAGACCCCUGUAAGUUAAUGGUCACUCAAGAAAGCAGGUUCGCUUAACCACAAAACCAUGCAACAGAAGCCUGAGACACGCCCCCGAACAAUAAAACAGUGGUGGCAUGAGACCCACAUCUGCCCAGUGAGCUCAGUAAGUUGAUGAUUCCUAGUCACGCUCCUCUGCGCACACUAAAAACAAGUAUAUAAGGAAGAGGUGACAUUAUGCUGAAACCUGAGAUGGUUUAUCAUAUUUUAGUGUACGUUACCACCUUUUCUCAUUUCCGUUGCUCCAUGACAGUCCCAGUUUGACUCUGCAGGGACAAGAAAAAUCCCCCACCCGAUGUGGAGGCGGAGCUGAUGAUGGAAGCUUGACGUCUACUCAAGAAUGAGGAAGAAGGUGGUCCUCUCCUCCUCCCCGCUUUUCCUUUGAUUAUAAAACAGGAGCCCACUAAGUUCUCGGGGCAGCACCCUCUCGCCCACCCGCAAGCCUCACAGGCGUCCUAGUCUAAUAAAUCACUUUGCCUCUCGCUGAAGAAUGAGCUCCUCAGAGCCCCCCAAGACACAUUUCAGUGGUUUCGGCUGGCGACCACAAAGGGGCAGCGGUAAGAUAAGAAGGAGGGGGGUCGGGUCCUAGAGGGGCUGUGGAUGCCAGGAGGACUGGGGAGGACACUCCCCCAGUGUGUGCCCCUUUUAGGCAGCUGGUCAACCCCGAAUGCUUUAGGACUCUGAUGAGAGAUGUAGGUACAGACCAGAGGAACAAUGCUAUGGAUGUUUAGAGACACGGAACCAGAGGAAUGCUGGCAGUCAGCAUGGCUGGCCACAGGAAGAUGCUACGGAUGUUUAGGGACCCGGACGGACACGUACAUUCUAGGUCUGUCCCUGUUAUACUCAAGUCUGUAAACUUAACUGUUCCAACUGUUAUUUAUAAACUGAUAAGUUUUGUAUUGCAAUGCCUGUCUUAUGAACAAGUUUUAAAAUGAAACUAUGAGAUCUCUGUCUGUCUGGAUAGAUAUGUGUCUUACAUGGUCUUGUCUUUAGAUAGUAUUGCUAAGGUUAAUUUGUAAAAGAGCUCAAUUUAAUUGGCUUAAAAAAAGUAAGUGCUUACAAAUUAAACAUUUCUGAAUAUAAGAGAAACUAAGCUAAAUGGAUUUCAGGUUCACAUGACCUGAGAAAUAUUUAAUUUUAAAUUAAUAUCUGGUAUUAAAGUUUGUUGUUAUUAAAGUUUGUUAAUUAAUACAGA